ACCUGCGGAAGGAUCAUUACCGAGUGAGGGCCCUCUGGGUCCAACCUCCCACCCGUGUUUAUCGUACCUUGUUGCUUCGGCGGGCCCGCCUCACGGCCGCCGGGGGGCAUCCGCCCCCGGGCCCGCGCCCGCCGAAGACACACAAACGAACUCUUGUCUGAAGAUUGCAGUCUGAGUACUUGACUAAAUCAGUUAAAACUUUCAACAACGGAUCUCUUGGUUCCGGCAUCGAUGAAGAACGCAGCGAAAUGCGAUAAGUAAUGUGAAUUGCAGAAUUCAGUGAAUCAUCGAGUCUUUGAACGCACAUUGCGCCCCCUGGUAUUCCGGGGGGCAUGCCUGUCCGAGCGUCAUUGCUGCCCUCAAGCACGGCUUGUGUGUUGGGCUCUCGCCCCCCGCUUCCGGGGGGCGGGCCCGAAAGGCAGCGGCGGCACCGCGUCCGGUCCUCGAGCGUAUGGGGCUUCGUCACCCGCUCUGUAGGCCCGGCCGGCGCCCGCCGGCGAACACCAUCAAUCUUAACCAGGUUGACCUCGGAUCAGGUAGGGAUACCCGCUGAACUUAAGCAUAUCAAU
rnacentral:rRNA from 1 species